rnacentral:lncRNA from 1 species
CGGGCUUGCACCCCGCUGGGCAAAGUACCCGGGGCUGUCACACGGCGAGCUGAGCCCUGGGCCGGCGGGGACGCAUGAGACAUUUGGUGCCGAAGACCUGGGUCAGCGGGACUCCUUUGGGAGACCAGUCCCCCAUCCUCACCCUCACUCUGUGAAGAGAUCCACCUACGACCUUGGGUCCUCAGACCAACCAGCCUAAGGAACAUCUCACCUAUUUUAAAUCGGACAGGAAUGUCAGGCCUCUGAACCCAAGCUAAGCCAUCA